rnacentral:lncRNA from 1 species
GGUGGAGUGUGGCAGCACUCGCAGCGGAUGCACUCUCUUUGCGCGGGCCCCGCCCUUCCUUGCCUCACGCGAGGGCCCCGCGGGCGGCCGAGCCCUGGUGGUAUCGCGAGACUCUAGCCCUCGUGGUGGCGCUUCUUUCCUCGCCGGCCUCCACCUACCCGCGACGCCUCGACCCGCCCCCACAGCGGCCCAACUUGUCUGGAGUUGAGGUCCUGAGCGCCUAGUUCCUGCACCCGGCCAACGGAGAGCCCCGCGCCGCCGCCUCGCCUCCGGGAUCCCCCGCUCCGCUCCUCUCCGUUCCCGCGACGCGAAAAGUUGGCGAGGAGGCGCGCUCCUAGCCGGUGCGGGGCUCUCGGUCACCGGCGCCCCGGGCGCCUGAGGCGGCGGCUCUGCUGGGUCCUGUGGUACCAGAGUUCCUUCCCCGGGAUCCUCUCACCAGUCGCUGCGGGUACGGGCUCCUGGCCUCGCCUCCCCGUCCCAGAGCGGUGCAAGGGGAGCAGGAGCAGAUGGAGCAGGGGUAGAAGACCCGAGGACUUUGGGCGGCGGGAGCGGAGACUCUAGAGCGAGCGUGAGAAGGAGCCACAGGCUGCCCGGGUGGAGGAGCGAGGCUGACAGCGCGGUGGCGGCGCCAGGGACCCCGCGGCACAGAGGCAGCUCCGCUGUCCAGGCCGCCCCCCGGGAGGCACAUCCCUCCCUCACGGGCUUCCAUCGCUUUCUCCAGGCACCGGCCCUGAGGGGAAAUGCCAAGUUAGCAUGUGAAUCCUACUUCCUGUCACAGUGGUCAGUGGAGUGGAAGACCAGGCAAAGAGUCCUGAUGAAGAAUGCAAGUGUAAUUUGUCCUGGAAGGCAAGAUGCUACUGAAUAAAACAAAGCAUAUGUGGAGAUCUGACACAGUGUUUUAGUGUCUUCAACUUGAGAGUGUUGAACAUUUUGUACUUGUGAGUCAAGUUCUGCGGUAAUAAAGAUGGCACAUUGAUCUAUGCCCUUGACUUG